GUAGGUGGCAAGCGUUGUCCGGAAUUAUUGGGCGUAAAGCGCGCGCAGGCGGUCCUUUAAGUCUGAUGUGAAAGCCCACGGCUCAACCGUGGAGGGUCAUUGGAAACUGGGGGACUUGAGUACAGAAGAGGAAAGCGGAAUUCCAAGUGUAGCGGUGAAAUGCGUAGAGAUUUGGAGGAACACCAGUGGCGAAGGCGGCUUUCUGGUCUGUAACUGACGCUGAGGCGCGAAAGCGUGGGGAGCAAACAGGGAUUAGAUACCCUGGCAGUCCACGCCGCAAACGAUGAGUGCUAAGUGUUAGGGGGGUUUCCGCCCCCCUUAGUGCUGCAGCUAACGCAUUAAGCACUCCGCCUGGGAGUACGGCCGCAAGGCUG
rnacentral:rRNA from 1 species